rnacentral:rRNA from 1 species
CCUACGGGAGGCUGCAGUAGGGAAUAUUGCUCAAUGGGGGAAACCCUGAAGCAGCAACGCCGCGUGGAGGAUGAAGGUUUUCGGAUUGUAAACUCCUUUUGUUAGAGAAGAUAAUGACGGUAUCUAACGAAUAAGCACCGGCUAACUCCGUGCCAGCAGCCGCGGUAAUACGGAGGGUGCAAGCGUUACUCGGAAUCACUGGGCGUAAAGAGCGCGUAGGCGGGAUAGCAAGUCAGAUGUGAAAUCCUAUGGCUUAACCAUAGAACUGCAUUUGAAACUGUUAUUCUAGAGUAUGGGAGAGGUAGGUGGAAUGCUUGGUGUAGGGGUAAAAUCCGUAGAGAUCAAGAGGAAUACUCAUUGCGAAGGCGACCUGCUAGAACAUAACUGACGCUGAUGCGCGAAAGCGUGGGUAGCAAACAGGAUUAGAUACCCGGGUAGUC